AAGGAGGGAGGAGGAACCCAGAACAAUGGUGCGCAAGCCCCUAUAUAGACUUUUGAAAUUGCCCACCCUGUCGCUCAAGACCACCGCCUAAAACAUACAUACAUCACAGAAGGAGGCGGAAAUCCUACAGCAGAAAUCCUGUCUGCCAGGAUACCUGAUAAUGGUCACUGAUUGCUUUACCUGGGCAGCCUGGCCAUUCUUUUUUGAUGGCAAAUACUUUAAUUCCUGAAACCAGGUCACAGGCUCACCCUGUUCAUACACACAUAUGCCCUUCAGACAGGUAAGCAAAAGACAAUGGGGAGGCUUUCCAUUUCCUUCCAGAAAUAUUUCCAGAGAAAUAUUUGAGGUCGAUUUGGGAGGGUCAAAAUGGCUUCAGGACUGCUCUCCUGUACUAUUUCAGACACGUGGUUUAUAUACUUAUGUAUGUGAUUGCCUUGUACAUUUAUGAACAUUUAUUUUAUAUUUGAGAACUUAGAAUUCUUGUAACACUAGCAAGGGUGCUGGAAGCUAUUACCACAUUGGAGGCUGGCACUGCCUCCAGCUGGAGUGAGUUCCAAAGUUCCAUUGCGCACUGUGUGAGGUUCUUUCCUCUGAAUCUUCCAGCAUUCAGUUUCAUUGGAUGGCCCCGCUGGGCUCUAGUAUUAUGAGAGAGGGAGAAAACCUUCCCUUGAUGAAGCACACACUCUUCUCUUUAAUAAAGGUAAAGGGAUCCCUGACCAUUAGGUCCAGUCGCGGCCGACUCUGGGGUUGCGGCGCUCAUCUCGCUUUACUGGCCAAGGGAGCCGACAUUUGUCGGCAAACAGUAUUUCCAGGUCAUGUGGCCAGCAGGACUAAGCCGCUUCUGGCGAACCAGAGCAGCUCACGGAAACGCCGUUUACCUUCCUGCCAGAGCAGUACCUAUUGAUCUACUUGCACUUUGACGUGCUUUCGAACUGCUAGGUUGGCAGGAGCUGGGACCGAGCAACGGGAGAUCACCCCGUCAGAGGGAUUCAAACCACCGACCUUCUGAUCGGUGAGUCCUAGGCUCUGUGGUUUAACCCACAGCGCCACCUGCGUCCCUCUCUUUAAUAAAGCAAGCCCCAAAUGACUGGGGGGCGGGGCGGGGGAAACUGAACAGAAGCUGAAUUGACCUCAACCCACCCAGUGAAUUACCUGGAAAAGAACUCACAAAAGGAGAGAAUUGCGCCAUCCGUUCAACGCUCCAUUCCCCAGCCGUCCCCCUUUCUGCCACCCCAGUUCCUUUCCAUGCUGGCCUGAGACAGGAAGGGGCUGGGGGCUAGCAGGGCAGAUGUGGAAAGGGAGAGAGCCAGGGAGGGAGGAGGGAGCUGAGAGCAGGAACCGGCUGCUGUGACAAACAGCCCAGGCUCCUGGGGGAGCAGGGGGAGGCCUUGCUGGAGGCUGCCCAUGGCGUUCAUGUGGCAACCCAGUCCCUUGGGGGGUUGGCAGGUGGGCCCCGCUGUGCUCCUGCCUGCUCCUGCCCCUGCCAGGGAAAAACAAGAGAUCCGCACUGGCAGAGGGCUGGAGAGGAAAGCCUGGAGGAGAAGCAGGACACCUUUUCAGCCAGGUCUUCCCCGGUUUCAUUCUGCUGGAAGGGGAAGGACCUGGAGCAUCCUUUGCCAGACACACCUGUAAGGAGCUGGCACGUCUGCCCUGGGCAAGAUGGCGCUGGAGUUUGAUGGAAUCACAGUGAGUGCAGAGCAGGGAGGGGGGCUCCCCAACGCUUUUCACGUGUGUACAUACAGACAUGUAUGCUUCCUUGCUGUCGGCUUCUCUACUAAGAUUGUCUGAACUACUUGUCCAGUAGUUGCUGGACUGCACUACUGCAGACCUUGGUGCCAAUCUAAGGAAUUACUCUUACAGUUGUUUCUGUAGCGAAUGGUAGUUGCUCCUUUGCCUGUCUCUCCUGCUCCCACAUCCUAGCUCCUGCUUCAGUGCCCGGCUCCUGCUGCCCUUGGGCUCUGGGGGAGAGUCACAGAGGUCCUUUGAAUGUGCACAAAACAAUAAACCUUUCUAUAUAAAAUUUCCAAUAUAUUCAGAAAACAAUAAAUCCUUAAUUGUUAUCCACAUUCAGUUAUAAGAUAAAACAUAUGCAAAGGACUUGAAAGGAAGUCAGAAUUGAAGAAAAGAUUUUGUAAGCUAAAAGGGGGGAAAUAUUUAUUUUCAUUAUUAUCAUUUUGUGUGUGUGUGUGUGUGUUUUGUAUGGGAUGUUUGUGAGGAAAUAAGACGGUAAAUAAAUACCGAAGUAUUGAUGUACG